rnacentral:rRNA from 1 species
UGGGGAAUCUUGGACAAUGGGGGCAACCCUGAUCCAGCCAUGCCGCGUGAGUGAUGAAGGCCUUAGGGUCGUAAAGCUCUUUCGCCUGUGAAGAUAAUGACGGUAGCAGGUAAAGAAACCCCGGCUAACUCCGUGCCAGCAGCCGCGGUAAUACGGAGGGGGUUAGCGUUGUUCGGAAUUACUGGGCGUAAAGCGCACGUAGGCGGACCAGAAAGUUGGGGGUGAAAUCCCGGGGGCUCAACCCCGGAACUGCCUCCAAAACUAUUGGUCUAGAGUUCGAGAGAGGUGAGUGGAAUUCCAAGUGUAGAGGUGAAAUUCGUAGAUAUUUGGAGGAACACCAGUGGCGAAGGCGGCUCACUGGCUCGAUACUGACGCUGAGGUGCGAAAGUGUGGGGAGCAAACAGGAUUAGAUACCCCUGGUAGUCCACACCGUAAAACGAUGAAUGCCAGUCGUCGGGUAGCAUGCUAUUCGGUGACACACCUAACGGA